rnacentral:sRNA from 1 species
UCAAUGUGUGGAAUUAUGUGGGUCAAUGGCUAUCUC